ensembl:snRNA U6 U6 spliceosomal RNA
GUGCUGCUACGGCUGCACAUAUACCUAAAAUUGGAUCGAUACAGAGCAGAUUAGCAUUGGCCCCUGCGAAAGAUUGACAUCGCAAAUCCUCAAGCGUUCAAUAUUUGU